UACGUAGGGGGCAAGCGUUGUCCGGAUUUAUUGGGCGUAAAGAGCGUGUAGGCGGCCAUACAGGUCAGCUGUGAAAACUCGAGGCUCAACCUCGAGACGUCGGUUGAAACCGUAUGGCUAGAGUCCGGAAGAGGAGAAUGGAAUUCCUGGUGUAGCGGUGAAAUGCGCAGAUAUCAGGAAGAACACCCGUGGCUAAGGCGGUUCUCUAGUACGGUACUGACGCUGAGACGCGAAAGCGUGGGGAGCGAACAGG
rnacentral:rRNA from 1 species